AACGAACGCUGGCGGCAUGCCUAACACAUGCAAGUCGAACGAAGCCUUCGGGCUUAGUGGCGCACGGGUGCGUAACGCGUGGGAAUCUGCCCUUGGGUUCGGAAUAACAGUUAGAAAUGACUGCUAAUACCGGAUGAUGUCUUCGGACCAAAGAUUUAUCGCCCAAGGAUGAGCCCGCGUAGGAUUAGGUAGUUGGUAGGUUAAUGGCCCACCAAGCCGACGAUCCUUAGCUGGUCUGAGAGGAUGAUCAGCCACACUGGGACUGAGACACGGCCCAGACUCCUACGGGAGGCAGCAGUGGGGAAUAUUGGACAAUGGGCAAAAGCCUGAUCCAGCAAUGCCGCGUGAGUGAUGAAGGCCUUAGGGUUGUAAAGCUCUUUUACCGGGGAUGAUAAUGACAGUACCUGGAGAAUAAGCUCCGGCUAACUCCGUGCCAGCCGCCGCGGUAA
rnacentral:rRNA from 1 species